CUCAGUGUGUGAAGUGCACCAUGUGUCCACCGGGCUUCUUUCUGAUUUCACAGUGCUCUCCUACUGCAGACAGGAUGUGCCAGGACAGAGAUGAAUGUCUUGAAGUACCAAACAUUUGCGGAGAGCGAGUGAAGUGCCUUAAUACUCCAGGGGGGUUCAGGUGUCUGGGAGUUUCUGAUAGAGAAGCAAUGAUGGGCUUGUGUGGUCACGACUACUUCUACAACCAGGAGCUGCA